AUUGAACGCUGGCGGCAGGCCUAACACAUGCAAGUCGGACGGUAGCACAGAGAGCUUGCUCUUGGGUGACGAGUGGCGGACGGGUGAGUAAUGUCUGGGGAUCUGCCCGAUAGAGGGGGAUAACCACUGGAAACGGUGGCUAAUACCGCAUAACGUCGCAAGACCAAAGAGGGGGACCUUCGGGCCUCUCACUAUCGGAUGAACCCAGAUGGGAUUAGCUCGUAGGCGGGGUAAUGGCCCACCUAGGCCACGAUCCCCAGCUGGUCUGAGAGGGUGACCAGCCACAAUGGGAUUGAGACACGGUACAGACUCCUACGGGAGGCAGCAGUGGGGAAUAUUGCACAAUGGGCGCAAGCCUGAUGCAGCCAUGCCGCGGGUAUGAAGAAGGCCUUCGGGUUGUAAAGUACUUACAGCGGGGAGGAAGGCGGUGAGGUUAAUAACCUCACCGAUUGACGUUACCCGCAGAAGAAGCACCGGCUAACUCCGUGCCAGCAGCCGCAGUAA
rnacentral:rRNA from 1 species